rnacentral:misc_RNA from 1 species
UCCGAUUUGUCACCGGCAGUCUCCUAUGAGUCCCCGACAUUACUCGCUGGCAACAUAGGACAAGGGUUGCGCUCGUUGCGGGACUUAACCCAACAUCUCACGACACGAGCUGACGACAACCAUGCACCACCUGUCACUCCGUCCCCCGAAGGGGAAAGUCCUAUCUCUAGGAUUGUCAGAGGAUGUCAAGACCUGGUAAGGUUCUUCGCGUUGCUUCGAAUUAAACUACAUGCUCCACCGCUUGUGCGGGUCCCCGUCAAUUCCUUUGAGUUUUAGCCUUGCGGCCGUACUCCCCAGGCGGGGUGCUUAAUGCGUUAGCUUCGGCACGGGGGGAGUCGACACCCCCCACACCUAGCACCCAUCGUUUACGGCGUGGACUAC